CUCUUACAGAAUUUGUGUGCUGAAUGUAAUGACAGAUUAUGGGUGGAAUGCCAUUUCCGAGAUCAGUGAAAAAGAAGCAAAUUCCUGGUGCUCGGUAUGUACUAUAGCUUGAUAGCAUUUGGUCUAGAUCAGGCAUUUGCUAGUUCAACACCUCCUUUGAAACCAAGAACGAGAGUAACACAAAGAAUCAUGAGGAUGUAGUUUACCUCUGGGGAAUAGAUUUGUCCUUCAUGCUUGGAUGAAGUAUGUAUAAUGUUUACUCGAGGGAAGCAUCCAAGAGCAAGUGAUUGCUUUACAAUGGAAAAAGUUGCUGAUAUCAUGGACUGGCUAGCAACCACGGCAGCUAGAGUUGAGAUUACAAACAUUGGCCAGUAAACAGGUUUUGGUAGGGAACUGUAAUAAGCGUUGUUGAUAUUCUCCGGAUACCUCACUAGAUAAGCUGUUUCUCCGGCAUAGCUGAGAACUAGGGAUGGAUAAACUAUAAAAGAAAAUGCCAACUGCAAGACUCAUUGUACAGAAAUGCCAUCAAUCAGAUUAACUUUUCUAAUGGUAGAUUAGAGUUCUUUGUUCCUUACCUGAAUUGCUCUUUUAUUGAAAUGACCUAAAUCAGCAAACAUGGCUUCCGCUCCUGCAUGACAGUUUAAAACAUGUCGGAAGUGAACUAAUUUUCUCCUAUUUCAUAUGCUUUUCUUUUAUCUUUUUUUUUUCCCUCAAAAGUAGUUGUAAAGUUAAACCUGUAAUGCUUAGAAAUACUGCACCGAGAAGAUUCCAAGCAGUCUUUCCAUUUCUUGAAACAAAUUUCACUAUGUAGUGUGGAGAAAUGGCUUUAAGAACGGAUGGAUAGUACUCCAAAAUAUUGUAGAUACCGACUGAAACAUUGGUAGCAAACCACAAUAACAUUACGGGUGUGAAGCAGAAGCUAACUUUGCUUGUUCCACAGCGUUGAAAAGUGAAAAGUGCAAUUAACAUAAUCACAGACAUGAAAACCACAUGAUCUGCAGCCAAUAGAACUUUCAUUAAACCUCACGUUUUGAGAGAGAUUGAAUUCCUUGCAGGGCUGAGAGAACUGAUGUAACAAGUGUAUGGACAUGAGGCAACGUCGAAAGGAAAUAUAACUUGGAGAAAACAAAGGAAGAAUGUUACCGCAAGUAGCAGGAGUGAGAGCUCCAUCACCAAUGACCAUACAAGUUCCAAGUAAAACAACAAAAGUAAGAACAUUUUGAGCUGUGGAACUUCUCUCCAGGAACUUCUUAGUUUUUGAACGCCUAGAACUUCCACUCUCUUGGCUGUAAUAAGCCAUGCUCUCAUCAGAUUCCAUCCUAACGUUGUGGAUAC